rnacentral:rRNA from 1 species
CUCUUAAAGAUAUAAUUUUAAGUAAAACCUGCUCAAUGAAACUUAAAUAGCCGCAGAAUUCUGUGCUAAGGUAGCAUAAUCACUAGCUUUCUAAUUAAAAGAUAGAAUGAAUGGUUAAACGAGAUACUCACUGUUUCUAUAAUCAAUAAUGAAUCUAAAAAUAAAGUUAAAAUUCUUUUAAUAAUAAGAAAGACGAUAAGACCCUAUAAAACUAAAAUAUUUAGCUGGGGUGGCAAAUUAAAUAUACCUUAACAUUAAAAGAUUACAAAACAAAUAUAAUUUAUAUAGAAAAGUUACUUUAGGGAUAACAGCGCUACUUUUUUUUAAAGUUCUAAUACAAAAAAAUCCUACGACCUCGAUGUUGAAUUAUAAAUCUAUUUGGAGCAAAAACCAAACAAGAAAGUCUGUUCGACU